rnacentral:tRNA from 1 species
UGGCUCAGUUGGUAGAGCAUGGUGUUUGCAACGCCAGGGUUGUGGGUUCGCCAGGGUUGUGGGUUCGAUUCCCAC